rnacentral:rRNA from 1 species
UACGUAGGGACCAAGCGUUGUUCGGAUUUACUGGGCGUAAAGGGCGCGUAGGCGGCUUGUCAAGUCACUUGUGAAAUCUCUGGGCUUAACCCAGAACGGCCAAGUGAAACUGACAUGCUAGAGUGCAGAAGGGGCAAUCGGAAUUCUUGGUGUAGCGGUGAAAUGCGUAGAUAUCUGGAGGAACACCGGUGGCGAAGGCGGCGUUCUGGACUGCAACUGACACUGAGAGACGAAAGCCAGGGGAGCAAACGGG